UGUAUAUAUAUAUAUAUAUAUAUACAUAUGUAUAUAUGCAUGUAUGUAUGUAUAUUGAACUAAUUUUAUCUUGAUAUGUGUUGGUUUACUUGUUCUCAUGUUAUCUAAAAUAUACUUAUGUACCCGGUACCUUAAGUGAUAUAUUUGUGUAACAGGUCGGUAUCAUGGAUGUGAUAAUUCCAUUGGGUUAGGGUUCCACUAAAAAAAAAUUCUGAAAUACAUAUAAUGUAUUUUGUUAUUAGUUCUUCCCAGUAGCGACAAUUCUCAACAGUUAACUUAACUAGAAUUUUUUUAAUUUUCAUUUCUCACCUGGUGAAACCCUGCUUUGGACUACUGCAUGAACUAGAGUACCGGGACAUUUCAACUUUAACAAAAGCUUUUGUCAUGGUUUCAUACUUAACAUCAAAAAAAAAGUUUUAGUUAAUUUUAACAUGUAAUUAUAAGUUACUGGUAUCUCAAAUAUUUUUUUUUAUCGAGCAUUAUUCACAUAGAGAUUGCAACAUUCUUUAUAGAAAAUCGAUUUAUGAAGAUACACAGCCAAGUUGUUGUUAUUUGUGUAGGCCUACUCCAUAAACAAGAAAAGAUGUUACAAAUAGGAGUACCGUGUAAGUGGGUCAGCAACCAAAUGGAUAUCUCCAGCAAACUCAACCAGAACUUUAUAUCUUUGGCAUUAUAUUUACAUAGAUUCAAUUUUUAUUUUCCUCUUCAACUUAUAAAAAAGUCCUCAUUUCUAUUAUAUUCACCAUAACAAUAGAGAAAAGUGGUAAUAUAUUAUACUUAAAUGUAUUAUUGAUUUUUUUUUUUUUUGCUGACUGCUAGUUCGAAUUGAAUUAUUGAUUAAGACAUGUUUUAAUAUCUAUUAUCCUCAAGUUAAGGUUUUAUGGGAUACUAGGAAACAAUAAACAAUCAUAUUUUGCAACAUCAAUUUAUUUGUAAUGUUCUAUGCUUUUGCAUAUUUUACACUCCAAACAAUGUCUGAUCACUCAAACACCAGCGAGAAACUAAUUUCAAGUAUGAACUCAAACAGAAAUACUUUUUAAAAUAAAUACAGAGUGUUUAUUCUAGAAUUUGGAAUCAGUAUAUUAUUGAAGUUCUUAUAAAUAAACAAUACAAUUUCUAUAUAUUUGCAAUGCAUUUCCUUAUAAAGUCUCUACAAUCGACGUCUUUUCCCCAUUGCGGGAAACAUCUAAGCUAUUUUAGGCACCAAUGGAAACUUCCUCAUGUCGU